rnacentral:rRNA from 1 species
UACGGAGGGGGCUAGCGUUGUUCGGAAUUACUGGGCGUAAAGCGCACGUAGGCGGAUAUUUAAGUCAGGGGUGAAAUCCCGGGGCUCAACCCCGGAACUGCCUUUGAUACUGGGUAUCUGGAGGUCGAGAGAGGCGAGUGGGAUUCCGAGUGUAGAGGUGAAAUUCGUAGAUAUUCGGAGGAACACCAGUGGCGAAGGCGGCUCGCUGGCUCGAUACUGACGCUGAGGUGCGAAAGCGUGGGGAGCAAACAGG